GACGAACGCUGGCGGCGUGCCUAACACAUGCAAGUCGAGCGAACAGACUCGGAGUUUGCUGCUCUGACGUUAGCGGCGGACGGGUGAGUAACACGUGGAUAACCUAUCAAUAAGACUGGGAUAACUUCGGGACACCGGAGCUAGUACCGGAUAAUAUAUAGAACCGCAUGGUUCAACAGUGAAAGAUGGUUUUGUUGUUAGUUAUAGGUGGUUCCGCGCCGCAUGAGCUAGUUGGUAAGGUAAUGGUUUACCAACGCAACGAGGCGUAGCCGACAUGAGAGGGUGAUCGGCCAGACGGGAACUGAGACACGGUCCAGACUCCUAGGGGGGGCAGCAGUAGGGAAUCUUCCGCGAGGGGCGAAUGGCUGACGGAGCAACGCCGCGUGAAGGAUGAAGGUCUACGGAUCGUAGAACUCUGUUGUUAGGGAAGAGCAAAUGUGUAAGUAACUAUGAACGUCUUGACGGUACCUAAUCAAAAAGCCACGGCUAACUACGUG
rnacentral:rRNA from 1 species